rnacentral:rRNA from 1 species
AUACGGAGGGUGCAAGCGUUACUCGGAAUCACGGGGCGUAAAGCGCGCGCAGGCGGCUUGAUAAGUUGGAUGUGAAAGCCUACGGCUCAACCGUAGAACUGCAUCCAAAACUGUCAGGCUAGAGUGUGGGAGAGGAAGAUGGAAUUAGUUGUGUAGGGGUAAAAUCCGUAGAGAUAACUAGGAAUACCAAAAGCGAAGGCAAUCUUCUGGAACACUACUGACGCUGAGGCGCGAAGGCGUGGGGAGCAAACAGGAUUAGAAACCCCAGUAGUCC